UAAAAAUUCACGAUGUUCCUCCUGGGCUCCUGACCUGCUGACCCGUCGGCUCUGCAGACAUUUCUCCCGGAUGCCUCACAGAUCCAGAGAUCAGGAAUAA